AUUGAACGCUGGCGGCAGGCCUAACACAUGCAAGUCGAGCGGAUGAAGGGAGCUUGCUCCUGGAUUCAGCGGCGGACGGGUGAGUAAUGCCUAGGAAUCUGCCUGGUAGUGGGGGAUAACGUCCGGAAACGGGCGCUAAUACCGCAUACGUCCUGAGGGAGAAAGUGGGGGAUCUUCGGACCUCACGCUAUCAGAUGAGCCUAGGUCGGAUUAGCUAGUUGGUGGGGUAAAGGCCUACCAAGGCGACGAUCCGUAACUGGUCUGAGAGGAGGAUCAGUCACACUGGAACUGAGACACGGUCCAGACUCCUACGGGAGGCAGCAGUGGGGAAUAUUGGACAAAGGGCGAAAGCCUGAUCCAGCCAUGCCGCGUGUGUGAAGAAGGUCUUCGGAUUGUAAAGCACGUGAAGUUGGGAGGAAGGGCAGUAAGUUAAUACCUUGCUGUUUUGACGUUACCAACAGAAUAAGCACCGGCUAACUUCGUG
rnacentral:rRNA from 1 species